rnacentral:rRNA from 1 species
ACCUAAUAGAUACCCUGGUAGUCCACGCCCUAAACGAUGCGAACUGGAUGUUGGGUACAUUACGGUACUCAGUGUCGAAAGCUAAACGCGUUAAGUUCGCCGCCUGGGGAGUACGGUCGCAAGACUGAAACUCAAAGGAAUUGACGGGGGCCGGCACAAGCGGUGGAGUAUGUGGUUUAAUUACGAUGCAACGCGAAGAACCUUACCUGGCCUUGACAUCUGUCGAAUCCUGCAGAGAUGCGGGAGUGCCGCAAGGAACGACAAGACAGGUGCUGCAUGGCUGUCGUCAGCUCGUGUCGUGAGAUGUUGGGUUAAAGUUCCCGCAACGAGCGCAACCCUUGUCCCUAGUUGCCAGCACAUCAUGGU